CAGCAGCCGCGGGAAUACAGAGGGUGCAAGCGUUAAUCGGAUUUACUGGGCGUAAAGGGCGCGUAGGUGGUUAUGUAAGUGAGAUGUGAAAUCCCCGGGCUCAACCUGGGAACUGCAUCUUAUACUGCGUAGCUGGAGUGCAGUAGAGGGUAGUGGAAUUUCCGGUGUAGCGGUGAAAUGCGUAGAUAUCGGAAGGAACACCAGUGGCGAAGGCGGCUACCUGGACUGACACUGACACUCAGGCGCGAAAGCGUGGGGAGCAAACAGGAUUAGAUACCCCCGUAGUCCCUGUCUCUUAUCC
rnacentral:rRNA from 1 species